rnacentral:rRNA from 1 species
UACGUAGGGACCGAGCGUUGUCCGGAUUCAUUGGGCGUAAAGAGCUCGUAGGCGGCCACUCAAGUCGAAUGUGAAACCUCGAGGCUUAACCUCGAGCCUGCAUUCGAUACUGGGUGGCUAGAGUCUGGUAGGGGGAUCUGGAAUUCCUGGUGUAGCGGUGGAAUGCGCAGAUAUCAGGAGGAACACCGGUGGCGAAGGCGGGAUCCUGGGCCAGUACUGACGCUGAGGAGCGAAAGCGUGGGGAGUGAUCCGG